rnacentral:rRNA from 1 species
AUACGUAGGUGGCAAGCGUUGUCCGGAUUUACUGGGUGUAAAGGGCGUGUAGGCGGGGAUGCAAGUCAGAUGUGAAAUUCCGGGGCUCAACCCCGGCGCUGCAUCUGAAACUGUAUCUCUUGAGUGCUGGAGAGGAAAGCGGAAUUCCUAGUGUAGCGGUGAAAUGCGUAGAUAUUAGGAGGAACACCAGUGGCGAAGGCGGCUUUCUGGACAGUAACUGACGCUGAGGCGCGAAAGCGUGGGGAGC